GAUGAAGAACGUAGCGAAAUGAGAUAAGUAAUGUGAAUUGCAGAAUUCAGUGAAUCAUCGAAUCUUUGAACGCACAUUGCGCCCGCCAGUAUUCUGGCGGGCAUGCCUGUUCGAGCGUCAUUUCAACCAUCAAGCCCCCGGCUUGCGUUGGGGACCUGCGGCUGCCGCAGGCCCUGAAAAGCAGUGGCGGGCUCGCUGUCACACCGAGCGUAGUAGCAUACAUCUCGCUCUGGGCGUGCUGCGGGUUCCGGCCGUUAAACCACCUUCAUAACCCAAGGUUGACCUCGGAUCAGGUAGGAAGACCCGCUGAACUUAAGCAUAUCAAUAAGCGGAGGA
rnacentral:misc_RNA from 1 species